rnacentral:rRNA from 1 species
ACGGUCGUAUCUAUCUGCAGUCGACGACUCUGGUAUUGAUUGGUGCUUGCAUCAUGAUUUACAUUUGAGUGAGUGGCGAACUGGUGAGUAACACGUGGGAAACCUGCCCAGAAGCGGGGGAUAACACCUGGAAACAGAUGCUAAUACCGCAUAACAACUUGGACCGCAUGGUCCGAGCUUGAAAGAUGGCUUCGGCUAUCACUUUUGGAUGGUCCCGCGGCGUAUUAGCUAGAUGGUGGGGUAACGGCUCACCAUGGCAAUGAUACGUAGCCGACCUGAGAGGGUAAUCGGCCACAUUGGGACUGAGACACGGCCCAAACUCCUACGGGAGGCAGCAGUAGGGAAUCUUCCACAAUGGACGAAAGUCUGAUGGAGCAACGCCGCGUGAGUGAAGAAGGGUUUCGGCUCGUAAAACUCUGUUGUUAAAGAAGAACAUAUCUGAGAGUAACUGUUCAGGUAUUGACGGUAUUUAACCAGAAAGCCACGGCUAACUACGUGCCAGCAGCCGCGGUAAUACGUAGGUGGCAAGCGUUGUCCGGAUUUAUUGGGCGUAAAGCGAGCGCAGGCGGUUUUUUAAGUCUGAUGUGAAAGCCUUCGGCUCAACCGAAGAAGUGCAUCGGAAACUGGGAAACUUGAGUGCAGAAGAGGACAGUGGAACUCCAUGUGUAGCGGUGAAAUGCGUAGAUAUAUGGAAGAACACCAGUGGCGAAGGCGGCUGUCUGGUCUGUAACUGACGCUGAGGCUCGAAAGUAUGGGUAGCAAACAGGAUUAGAUACCCUGGUAGUCCAUACCGUAAACGAUGAAUGCUAAGUGUUGGAGGGUUUCCGCCCUUCAGUGCUGCAGCUAACGCAUUAAGCAUUCCGCCUGGGGAGUACGGCCGCAAGGCUGAAACUCAAAGGAAUUGACGGGGGCCCGCACAAGCGGUGGAGCAUGUGGUUUAAUUCGAAGCUACGCGAAGAACCUUACCAGGUCUUGACAUACUAUGCAAAUCUAAGAGAUUAGACGUUUCCCUUUCGGGGACAUGGAUACAGGGUGGUGCAUGGUUGUCGUCAGCUCGUGUCGUGAGAUGUUGGGUUAAGUCCCGCAACGAGCGCACCCUUAUUAUCAGUUUGCAGCAUUAGGUGGGCACUUCUUGCUGAGACUGCGGCUGACAAAUCGCAGAUGGUGGGGAUGACGUCCAAAAUUCA